rnacentral:rRNA from 1 species
AACGCGAAGAACCUUACCUACUCUUGACAUCCUGUGAACUGGGCUGAAAGGCUUGGGUGCCGAAAGGAACACAGAGACAGGUGCUGCAUGGCUGUCGUCAGCUCGUGUUGUGAGAUGUUGGGUUAAGUCCCGUAACGAGCGCAACCCUUGCCCUUAGUUGCCAGCGAGUAAAGUCGGGGACUCUAAGGGGACUGCCGGUGAAGAAUCGGAGGAAGGCGGGGACGACGUCAAGUCAUCAUGGCCUUUAUGAGUAGGGCUACACACGUGCUACAAUGGUGCGCCCAAAGGGAAGCGAAACUGUGAAGUGAAGCAAAUCUCAAAAAACGCAUCUUAGUCCGGAUUAAAGUCUGCAACUCGACUUUAUGAAGCUGGAAUCGCUAGUAAUCGCGGAUCAGCAAUGCCGCGGUGAAUACGUUCCCGGGCCUUGUACACACCGAUAGC